CCCUUAGAUGUUCUGGGCCGCACGCGUGCUACACUGAGUAAUUCAAUGGGUAAGGGAACGCUAGAGCAUUACCUAAUCUUGAAAUUUGCUCGUGAUGGGGAUCGACGGUUGCAAUUUUCCGUCGUGAACGAAGAAUACCUUGUAGGCGCAUGUCAUCAUCAUGCGCCGAAUACGUCCCUGCCCUUUGUACACACCGCCCGUCGCUCCUACCGAUUGAGUGAUCCGGUGAGGCUCUGGGACCUGGACGGAAAGAGCGUUUCGCUUGUUCUGUUUGGGAAACUUGGUCGAACCUUAUCAUUUAGAGGAAGGAGAAGUCGUAACA
rnacentral:rRNA from 1 species